CACUCAUCCAGAGGGGCAGAGGGACACGGCCCGAUGAAGCCCCGGCAACCGCCGUGCGCAGUCCUGCGCACGGAAGGUGCCACAUCCGUCCCGCGCGGCUCGACGGCCCGGCGCGGGGAAGAUGAGGA
rnacentral:ncRNA from 2 species